rnacentral:rRNA from 1 species
GUGAGGAAUAUUGCACAAUGGGCGAAAGCCUGAUGCAGCAACGCCGCGUGAGUGAUGAAGGCCUUUGGGUCGUAAAACUCUGUCCUUGGGGAAGAAAAAAAUGACGGUACCCUUGGAGGAAGCCCCGGCUAACUACGUGCCAGCAGCCGCGGUAAUACGUAAGGGGCAAGCGUUAUCCGGAAUUAUUGGGCGUAAAGAGUGCGUAGGUGGUUUUGUAAGCGUAGGGUGAAAGGCAGUAGCUCAACUAUUGUUAGCCCUGCGAACUGUGAGACUUGAGUGCAGGAGAGGAAAGUGGAAUUCCUAGUGUAGCGGUGAAAUGCGUAGAUAUUAGGAGGAACACCAGUGGCGAAGGCGACUUUCUGGACUGUAACUGACACUGAGGCACGAAAGCGUGGGUAGCAAACAGGAUUAGAAACCCUGGUAGUCC